GUAAAAGUUUGAAAUCAAUGUUGAAUCUCAGGACAGCUUGGUGAUCUGCAAAUCCCCGAUGAAAUGUUGAUAUCGGGUAUCAUAGUCAUUCAAUAAGUCGCAAAAUGCUCGAAUACAAUUUAUAAAGCACAAUGUGACUUAUAUUGACAACUAAAAAUACCAGUAAUCAGUAUGCCAGUUUUGCCGUGUCAAGCUGUUACGAUCCAGAGACCAGAAAGUCCUUCAUUCACAUCGAGUAUAUAUCCUUCGAAUUCCAACUAGUGUUGUCAUAAGCGGAGAUUUAGUGAAUAAAUAAUUCAUAUAUCCUAAAUGACAGCUUCUAAAUAGCGAAACAAGCCAAUGUAUGCAGCAGACAAUACCAAACUUCGUCGGACCGACGGACAAAUCUGACAGAUUAUGACAAGGUCCGAUCGAUUUUGCAAUUCCGUCGGACAAAAGUGUCCGACUCCAAAAAAUAUCAUAAACAUCCUAUGAAUCAUCGUCUUAUGCUCCGUGGGAUUCCAAUAUUUGUUAUCAAAACAUGUAGAACUAAAUACGUAAAUACCAGUGUCGGUUUUAUGUUUCCGAUCUAUUCGUGUCCUCCAAUAAGAAUAGCUCGCACAUGUUAGGUUUUACGCGUUAUUUUCCGAAAUCACUCGGAUCACGCGAGGCCAUUUACGUAAAAUAUUCUGAACGAAGAGACGGAAUUUGCCGAGUGUGUUUCGAAUUAUCGGAAUUACGAACUGUUAAAACUCGGUAUAUUCCGUGACAGUUUCUGGAAAUUUCCAAACGGAUAUCUAUUGAGUAGUAGUUCCACGCUUAUAAGCGCAUAUUUAUUCGCAAAAUGUGAGAUUCGGGAACAUGCAGCAAGGUGCUCGCAUACGUUAGAGGUCAAUGGUCUUCGAUGUCAACAGCAUUGCGAAGCCAAAAUAACGUGGAAGGAUAAUCCGGUGAUUUCGUUUGCAAAAUAUUGUUUUAUUCUUUCCAAAAGAUUAUUUCACUACUAAUUGUAUUGUCAUUAUAGAUAUUUAGCAAUGUUAGAAUCAGAUUUGCCCGAUAUGCUGAGGUUUCUUACCAAAGCCGAUGGCCAAGGUCAAGGGGCUUAACGUAAAUCUGAGGCCGAUUACACCAAGCACACCAAUCCCAAAUGGAAAAAGUAUGAGGAAAAACAACCAGUUCGCACAUUCCAGGAUGCAUGGAAAACUGGAAGGCCCUGGCUUGUUUAUAUUGAGCCAGACUCUGACAAUUCCCAUGGGCAAAUGAAGUGCACGUCAUGUAUUGCAUUUUAUGGCACAAAUGGGGGGUUGAGGCCAGGUUUGAACAAUGUAAACAAAUGCCAACACUUUUGUAACUGGCAGUUCAAAUUUCAAGGCGAGUACAGUUACUGACCAUGAAAAAUCUGUGGCCCAUCUUAGAGCUCACGAUGCUUUGAAAGCAAAACAAAGCAACCCCAUCUGAAGUUGUUGCUUCAAAAUCUGGGCGUGCUCUGCUUUCACUGAAUGAUGCUGAGCGCAAACGGCUAAGGUAUUUGUUCAAAAAUGCACAUGCCGUAGCAAAGCAAGGUCGCCCAAUUCAUGACUACCAAUGGCUAUGUCGCCUUGAUCAGACCAAAGAUGUUGACUUGGGUACGACAUACCUAAAUGAAAAGGCUGCUGUUCGUUUUUUGUUUCAUUGCAGGCGCAGAGAGGACAAAGACAGCGCAGAUGCUAAAAAAUGAAACAUCCUUCUCAUUAAUUAUGGACGGCUCGACAGACAUAAGUGGCUCGGAGCAAGAGUCGCUGUAUGUCAGACUCCCAACUGAUGGGCAGAUUGAGGAGCGUUUCUUGACAAUAGGGUCACCAGUCAGCACCUGCUCCACAGACCUCUUCAACUUUGUAAACGAAACAUUUGACAAGUUGGAGAUCCCAAAAGAAAAAAACUUGUUGGUCUGGGAUCCGAUUGGGCGUCCAACAUGAUAGGUGUACGCUUUGGGUUGGCAACCCUACUCCGAAAAGAACUGGGAGAAGAUUUAAUUAAUAUUCACUGCCUGUGUCACCGCCUCGAACUGUCCUUUCGUGAUGUAGUUAAGACAAACAAAACAUAUGAUAGAAUUAUAACCUUACGUAUUGGCCUGCACUACUUUUAUAAAAAAAAAAGCACAAAAACAAAACUGGCUUGUUAAGAACAUUCACAGCCCUGAGUGUUAAAGGUGUUUUGCCUCCAAAGGUAACAGGGACACGCUGGCUGCCACAUCUGAACAAUGGGCUUAAAUGUUUGGAGAGGACAUUUGCAGCUUUUGAGGCCCAUCUGUCUACACUCAGCCACAGUAAUGCAAAAGCUGAAGACCUUGUGAAAAUUCUCACAGACAUCAAUGUUGUCAGCUAUGCUCUGUAUCUGAAGGAACUGAUUGAGCCACUUAUGCAGCUGUCAAAAAAGUUGAAAAAGAAAGACAUCACACUAGCUGAAGUCUUGACUGGAUAGAAACAACAGCUGAAAUGGUUGAAGGUCUGAAAACAAGGAACAUGGAAACACUUGAAGGGGUCAUUGAGUCAGGGGAGUUUAAAUGUGUAAAACUGAGGGGGCAGAAACCUAAACUGGCAUACAGAGAUCAGCAGAUUGAUGGCAUUGUCUCAGCAGUUCACAAACGCUUCCAACUUGACGAUUCUGCUGUAUCUGUUGUUCAAGCCAGCAAAGUCCUCUGCUUCAACAAAUGGCCUUUGAAAGAUAUUGACAAAUUACAAGGUACCUCAGAUGAGCAGGAAACGGCCGAACCUGAUGAUGUUGACUCAGACGACGAAACUCAACAAAUCAAUGAGCUAUUUUGUCAACAUGACAACAGUGAUUAUUGUACAGAUUAUCAGGAGGAAGGAGACAAUGAGAAAAUGAUUAUCAAUUAUUUGAAUUCUGAUAAUUAAGAAAUAAUUCGUGUACGUUAUAGUUUGUUGUCGAAUAACCCACGGCCGGAAGUUUCGAUGUGUAUGUAUUUAAUAAUGAGUGCGAAGCACGAGUAUUUUGAAACCACGCAUCUAAACUUCCGGCAGUGGGUUAUUAUAUAUAGUUAAUUAUAGUUAUAGAUAGAAUAGUUCAUUGAUUUGUUGAGUUUCUUCGUCACGAAUUAUUUCGAUUCUAACACAUAUUUUUUCUAAAGAUUUAUACAAUGUCUCUUAUUUUUCUUGUGUACUUUUUUAUGUGAAGUUCUCAUAAAUACGCCCAUAGUUUGUUGUCACAUAACCCAGGGCUAGAAGUUCUUCUUUUUUUAUAUGAAAUUUGGCUUAUGCUGUGGUAGAAUAUUUAGUAAUACAUGGUAAUAUACUUGUUAUAUGAUAUAAAUAAAUACUAUGUGUAACCGUCA